rnacentral:piRNA from 1 species
UUUCCCCUAUUGGCUGGGGUUGGACUGC